rnacentral:rRNA from 1 species
CCUACGGGGGGCAGCAAUUAGGAAUCUUGCGCAAUGGGCGAAAGCCUGACGCAGCGACGCCGCGUGGAGGAGGAAGGCCUUCGGGUUGUAAACUCCUUUUAGGUGGGAGACGGUACCACCAGAAUAAGCCCCGGCUAACUCCGUGCCAGCAGCCGCGGUAAUACGGAGGGGGCGAGCGUUGUCCGAAGUUACUGGGCGUAAAGCGCGCGUAGGUGGGUUGGUAAGUCCGCUGUGAAAGCCCGGAGCUUAACUCCGGAGGGUCGGUGGAUACUACCAGUCUUGAAGAUGCUAGGGGGAAGUGGAAUUACCGGUGUAGCGGUGAAAUGCGUAGAUAUCGGUAGGAACACCAGUGGCGAAGGCGGCUUCCUGGGGCAUCUUGACGCUGAGGCGCGAAAGCUGGGGGAGCGAACGGGAUUAGAUACCCUUGUAGUC